UCUAUCAUGGGGACGUGUUGAGAUCAUGGGGAUGUGUUGAGAUCAAGGGGAUGUGUUGAGGUCAAGGGGAUGUGUUGAGGUCAAGGGGAUGUGUUGAGGUCAAGGGGAUGUGUUGAGGUCAAGGGGAUGUGUUGAGGUCAAGGGGAUGUGUUGAGGUCAUGGGGACGUGUUGAGGUCAUGGGGACGUGUUGAGGUCAUGGGGACGUGUUGAGGUCAAGGGGACGUGUUGAGGUCAUGGGGACGUGUUGAGGCAACAUGACUUAAACCAUCAACGGUUGCAGUCCAGACAGAACAAGUAGGACAUCAGAAAUCCUCCAACCAGAAUGGAGAACCUGGACAUUUGACAGCCCUAAACCUAUCCAACCCUUUCAG